UCCGAACCCGAACAUAGGGAAUCGAUUGAGGUGGAGGUGUAAAUUAGCAUUCCAUGCGUAAAAUGCUCAAAGCUGGUCUAAAAUUGACUACAAAGCAUCACGGUGCCGGGAUGAUAUGCGGUAAAGUCUUGAGUAACAUCAUUUUAAGUCAUACGCGCUCAUCGAUCUGGACUCUUUGACCCUCUUGGCAUCACACUUACGAUGCUCGCAUCGCGACCCCAGGUCAGGUGGGAUUACCAGCUGAAUUUAAGCAUAUCAAUAAGGGAAUGAAAAGAAACUUAUCAGGAUUCCUUUAGUAAUGGUGAUGGAACCGGGAAGAGCCUAGCUUGAUAUUCAAUCGCCCUCAACGUCUGAAUUAUAGUAUGGAGAAGUGUACUCAGCGACGGACCUGACCCAAGUCCCUUGGAAAUAGGUACCUUAGAGAGAAAGAGCCCCAUCAUGCCCAGACCCUGUUACACCAUGAGGCAAUAUCUACGAGUCAGGUUGUUUGGGAAUGUAGCCCUAAUCGAGACUCGAAAGAUGGUAAACUAUGCUUGAGCGGGGUGAAGCAAGAGGAAACUCUGGUGGAGGCCUGCAGCGAUACUGAUGUGCAAAUCAUUCAUCUGACUUGAGUAUAUGGGCGAAAGACUAAUCAAACCAUCUAGUAGGUGGUUCCCUCUAAAGUUACCCUCAGGAUAGAUAAAGCCCUUAGCGAGUUCUAUCGGUUAAAGCCAAUGAUUAGAGGCAUCGGGGGCGCAACGCCCAUGACAUAUUCUCAAACUUUAAAUAGGUAGGAUGGCAUGACUACUUCGUUGAGUUGUGCAACACAAUCAAGAGCUCCAAGUGGGCUAUUUUUAGUAAGCAGAACUGGCGAUGCGGGAUAAACCAAAAGCUGGGUUACGAUGCCCAACUAAGCGCUAACCUAGAACCCACAAAGGGUGUUGGUCGAUUAAGAUAGUAAGACGAUGGUCAUAAAAGAAGAAAUAUGAUAAUAAGUGUGUAACUACUCACUUGUUUAAUCAACUAGCAUAAAAAAUGGAUGACGUUUAAGCGCGUGACCUAUACUUUGCCGUUAGGGCAAGGGCCAGGCCCUGAUGAGUAGGAGGGCGUGACAGUUGCCGUAAAACCUGAAGUGUAAGUCUGAUUAGGGUGGUCGUUGAUGUUAAUGUUGGUGGUAGUAGCAAUUAUUUAAAUAAGGACUUUGAUGGAUGAAUAGGGUAAAUGUUCCAUGUGAAUGGCACUUGCACAUGGUUUAGUCGAUCCUAAGAGAUAGAGGAAGCUCAUCCGAUAGCUCGUUCUACACGAUCUUCAAAAAGGAAUCAUGUUAAAAUUCCUGAAUCGAGAUGCGACGGGGAACUCAGGAAAAGUUAUCUUUUCUAUUUAACGGCAUGCCCACCCUGAAAAUGGUUUUGUUGAAGGUAGGGUCCAGUAGCCGGAAGAGCACCAUACGUAACGUGGUAUCCGGUAUGCCCCUGGUGGCCCUUGAAAUUCUGGAGGACCGAUUGUCAUUCCCACCGGUCGUACUUACAAUCGCAUUAGAUCUCCAAGGUGAAUAACCUAUGGUCUAUAGAACAAUGUAGGCAAGGGAAGUCGGCAAAAUGGAUCUGCAACCUUGGGAAAAAGAUUGUCUCUAAGGGUUGGGCACAGGGGUCCCAGUCUCAAACCUGUUGGUUGUUGGUGCACUGCUCGAGCUGCUCCCACAGUGAGAGUGAGUCACCUUGUGUCGGUUGGGGGAUGGACUUGGAACGACUCAUUUGGGGCCUUCCCUAGGCUAUGGACAGUCGACUCAGAACUGGUACAGAUAAGGGGAAUCCAAUUGUUUAAUUAAAACAAAACAUUGUGAUGGUCCCUGCGGAUGCUCACGCAAUGUGAUUUAUGCCCAGUGCUCUGAAUGUCAAAGUGAAUAAAUUCAACCAAACGCGGAUAAAUGGUGAGAGUAACUAUGACUCUCUUAAGGUAGCUAAAUACCUUGUAAUCUAAUUAAUGACGCACAUGAAUGGACUAACGAGAUUCCCACUAUCCCUUUCUACUCUCAAGCGAAACCACAACCAAGGGAAUGGGCUUGACAGAAUCAGCAGGGAAAGAAGACUCUAUUGAGCUUGACUGUAGUCUGACUUUGUUAAAUGACUUAAGAGGUGUAGGAUAAGUGGGAGCUAUUGGGCAAAAUUGAAAUACCACUAAUUUUAACAUUAUUUUAUUUAUUCCUAAAAUCAAAAGUGGGGCAGGACCCCUAUUUUUGGACCCACGGUCGACUUCAAUCGAUGAAUUUAGGCAGAAGACAUUGUUAGGUGGGGAGUUUGGAUGGGGUGUCACAUCUUUUAAAAGAUAACACAUGUGUCCUAAGAUGAGCUCAACAAUAAUAGAAAUCUUGUGUGGAACAAAAGGGUAAAAGCUCGUUUGAUUCUGAUUUCCAACAUAAAUAUGAACCUUGAAAGUGUGGCCUAUCGAUCCUUUAGACCUUCGGAAUUUGAAACUAGAGGUUUUAGAAAAUUUACAACAGGGAUAACUGGUUUUUGGCAGUCAAGCGUUCAUAACGAGAUUACUUUUUGAUCAUUCAAUGUCGUCUAUUCCUAUCAUUAUGAAGUAGAAUUCACCAAGUGUUGGAUUGUUCACCCAAUAAUAAGGAACGUGAACUGGGUUUAGACCAUCGUGAGAAAGGUUAGUUUUACCCUACUAAUGGCCAUGUCACAAUAGUAAUUUAACCUAAUACGAGAGGAACCGUUGAUUCGCAUUAUUGGUCAUCGUACUUGGUUGAAAAGCCAAUGGCAUGAAUCUACCAUGCGCUGGAUUGCGACUGAAUGCCUCUAAGUCAGAAUCCAUGCUAGAAGUGAAGCAUGUGUUAGGACCAUCGGUGCACCUCGUGGCACAGCGGAAAUAAAACUAGACAGUCUUACCAGUGAUCCAAG
rnacentral:rRNA from 1 species